rnacentral:tRNA from 1 species
GCCGAAGUGGUGGAACUGGCAGACGCGGCAGACUCAAAAUCUGCUGUCCCCCGGAGGACGUGCGGGUUCGAGUCCCGCCUUCGGCACCA